rnacentral:lncRNA from 10 species
CGGAAUGGAAGCAUUAGCUUUAAUGGGAAAGGCCUGUUUGCAGGCGAAGUAAAGUCAGUAACUCACACUUCAAACACCUGCAGGUUCAUUAGCAUCCUGACAACCCUCAGGUGAGGAAGGAGCUGUUAUCUCCAUUUACAGACGGGAAAACUGAGGGUCAGGCUGGCUCUCAAGCCUGGGUCUUCUGAUUCUUUCAAAUCCUAUGUGACACAACACUGAGCUCUUUGGGGUUCAUAAAAGGAGGACCAGGAAUGAUGGAAAAGAUCCAAACAUCCGUCUUUGAAGGCGG